rnacentral:RNase_P_RNA from 1 species
UGGGGCGGCUGGACGGUCGCGUUGCGGGCAACCGCACCGAGGAACGUCCGGGCUCCGCAGGGCAGGACGGUGGGUAACGCCCACCCGGAGUGAUCCGCGAGAAAGUGCCACAGAGAGCAGACCGCCUCCGCGCUUCGGCGCGCGAGGUAAGGGUGAAAGGGUGGAGUAAGAGACCACCGGGGGCCGUGGUGACACGGCCUGCCAGGUAAACCUCGUCCGGAGCAAGGUCAGACAGAGGAUGAUGACGCGGCUCGCCGAGUCCUCGGGUAGACCGCUGGAGCGGCACGGCAACGUGUCGCCGAGAGAGAUGGCCGUCGAAGGGACACCCCGAGAGGGGCCCCGGAACAGAACCCGGCGUACAGGCCGCCCCAUUCG